AUGGGGCUUUCAGCAGCGUGGGGAAGCUGGAAAUUCCAGGCUGCUCCUGCCUCUAGAAAAGCCCACCGGACAGCCGAGGUCAGGCGUGGAGACCCUCGGGCUGCCAGGUCAGGAGUCGGUGGGCAGUGUGAAAGUCCCCCCACUGGAGAAGACAGCCUGAAUAAAAGAGUGAAAUCAAGACUGUGCUGGUGGGGGGGCUUCGCUCUGGAGAGUUUAGCCAGAGGCCAGUGGGAAACUCCCACCCGAGCUCAGAGCAAACAGAGUUUGAACACUUUUUUUACACAGGCCAAGGACAGGGAACACGUGUGCGAUGAAGCCCUGUAUUUAUGGCCAGAGAAACUAUUUCAGGGACUCAAAGAGGAAGAGGGCUGGCGCGGGGCUCAUGUGACUGCCCUGCGGUGACGUGAUGAACAUCCUAAUUGGAUUGGAACAUAACAAUUGGAAUGUCACCCUGGAUCUCAGUGAAAUAUACUGUAAACUUACGACUGUUUGGUCCUUGAUGGAAGAGUACAGAGUGAACCGAGAGUUAUAUACGGGAGACCGAAUUGCAGACCGGUACUCAUCUGAACACCGCUACGGUUUAUACGUAAAGACUUCAUUUAACUGUAACAUCAUGAGGCGCGUCGCAUCAACGAUCCAUCUGAUAGCUGUGUUUGAAUGUGGAAAAUUUUCUGUAUUAUUAAAAUGUACUUCUUGCACUGCAUUUUUAUUAUUUGCUAAAUUAUUUAUUUACUGUACGUCUGGACGUACUAAUGAUUGAAAAUAAAAUGAAC
rnacentral:lncRNA from 1 species